UGGGGAAUUUUGGACAAUGGGCGAAAGCCUGAUCCAGCAAUGCCGCGUGUGUGAAGAAGGCCUUCGGGUUGUAAAGCACUUUUGUCCGGAAAGAAAUCCUUGGCUCUAAUACAGUCGGGGGAUGACGGUACCGGAAGAAUAAGCACCGGCUAACUACGUGCCAGCAGCCGCGGUAAUACGUAGGGCGCAAGCGUUAAUCGGAAUUACUGGGCGUAAAGCGUGCGCAGGCGGUUUGCUAAGACCGAUGUGAAAUCCCCGGGCUCAACCUGGGAACUGCAUUGGUGACUGGCAGGCUAGAGUAUGGCAGAGGGGGGUAGAAUUCCACGUGUAGCAGUGAAAUGCGUAGAGAUGUGGAGGAAUACCGAUGGCGAAGGCAGCCCCCUGGGCCAAUACUGACGCUCAUGCACGAAAGCGUGGGGAGCAAACAGGAUUAGAUACCCUGGUAGUCCACGCCCUAAACGAUGUCAACUAGUUGUUGGGGAUUCAUUUCCUUAGUAACGUAGCUAACGCGUGAAGUUGACCGCCUGGGGAGUACGGUCGCAAGAUUAAAACUCAAAGGAAUUGACGGGGUCAUAGCUGUUUCCU
rnacentral:rRNA from 1 species